GAGAGGUCACGGGACGCCGUCGGGGGCACUGAUGCACAGCGUGGUGGUGGUUACAUGGAGAGUACCUGGUCAAUAAACGUGGCUGUCAACAUCAACAGUCGGCAGGCGUUAUGAAAGGUAUACACACGUUUACUUCGAGGCAGUUUAGUAUAUAUAUAUAUAAAGUGUUUGUGAGGAUACCUUCACAACCUCGUCAUCUUGAUCUAUUAACGUUCAGGCAGCAGAAUAGUUUCACAAGUACAGGAUGAAGAUAUCUUUCCUGAUGGUACUUCUACUACUGGGUUCCCUCUUAGCAUUUGACAUGACAGGAGCACAUCGUCACCGGAGAUGUCGUCGUCAUCGUCAUAGACGUCGUCGUCACCACGGAUGAUUAUCAAUGAUGGAUUACUGCCCUCGAGAGGAAUGAUCUACACCAGAGCACCAACAUGGAAAUGAGAGAAUGCUUUUAAUAAAU